rnacentral:rRNA from 1 species
GACAGAGGUGCCGAGCGUUAGGCGGAAUCACUGGGCUUAAAGCGUGUGUAGGCGGACGCCUAAGUACCUUGUGAAAUCCCCCGGCUCAACCGGGGAACGGCUGGGUAUACUGGGCGUCUUGAGACACCUAGGGGCGAGCGGAACAGGCGGUGGAGCGGUGAAAUGCGUAGAUAUCGCCUGGAACGCCGACGGUGAAAACAGCUCGCUGGGGGUGUUCUGACGCUGAGACACGAAAGCCAGGGGAGCGAACGGG